GCCCCAAUGGCGAAACUGGUAGACGCAUUAGUUUCAGGUGCUAAUAACCUAUGGUUGUGGAGGUUCGAGUCCUCUUUGGGGCACCA
rnacentral:tRNA from 1 species